GACGAACGCUGGCGGCGUGCCUAAUACAUGCAAGUAGGAAGCAGUUGCGAAAGGGUGCGUAACGCGUAGGUAACUACCUAUUAGAGGGGGAUAACUAAUGGAAACGAUAGCUAAUACCGCAUACUAGUAGAUGGACCUGCGUUGUAUUAGCUAGUAGGUAGGGUAAUGGCCUACCGAGGAAACGAUACAUAGCCGACCUGGUAGGGUGUGCCAACCCACAGGGACGGAGACACGGCCCAGACUCCUGCCACGACCAACAGUAGUAAAUCGUCGGCAAGUGGGGGAAACCUGACCCAGCAACGCCGCGUGAGUGAAGAAAGUUUUCGGAUCGUCAAGCUCUGUUGUUAAGGAAGCGGUACUUAACCAGAAAGGGACGGCUAACUACGUGCCAGCAGCCGCGGUAAUAC
rnacentral:rRNA from 1 species